rnacentral:lncRNA from 1 species
AGGCCAACUCCUUUUCUUAGUGAUGAGCAGUGACUUGCUUGAGCUGCCUGGAAUUUGAAUGUGGUAUCUGGAGCUUCAGUAGUCAUCCAGGACUGUAAGUGUGAAAGCCAUGCACUGAGAGUGGUGGAACAGAAGCCCUGUUUUCUUUAGACGCUGACUCCUGCUGUCUACCAGAUCCUCGUGGUACAAUGACUGGUGUAGACUGGCUUGUUGAAGUCACUCUCUGGAUCUGAGCAACGCUGGCUGAGCCGUGAUGAAGUAUUCCUAUCCAUCCACUAUGCUUCACAGUGGGAAUCUCUCACUGUUCAUCACCGCUGCCCUAGCAGCCGCAGGGAUUCUUCACCCAUGGUUGCUUAGGUUUAUAAGCAAGGAAGCUGAAUGAAGUCCCUUUCCUCUCUGGAUGAGCCCCUGGGUUUCUGGAAGAGUCUUAAAAUCACCCCUAAAUGGCUUCCAAGCACUGAAGCCCGAGAUGUUAGCUGGCCUGUGUGAGGCCUUGAGACAGAAUGCCACAGCCACACCCCAAGGAUGCUGAAGGGGAUUUCCCUCCUCUGUGGUUUUUCUCCUUUCUUCCCGCAGCACUCCUCCUACGUGCUAACAUCUUCUAGUCAAACAACUCUCCUUUUCAAAGGGACCAGGCACAGUUUCUGCUUAUCCCUGAGUAGCAGUGUUCAGUUUCCUGCCAGCCUGUGGAGUUUUUCAAACAAGCCAAUCACCUCCUCCUGUGGGAACUGAGAAGCACCCCACCCUCUCGAUACUACAAAGCCCCUGCUUGUUCCCUAGUGCAACUCCCAUGUGGUCCUGUGGAGCAUAUGGUAUCUUCCUCUUCUGGGCAGUGAGCAUAUGUGACUAAUAAACUAUCUAUCUCAUCUGUUCAGUGCCAGGUGUCAUUUGUUCUGCCAUCCCAUGACCUAGGGUGGGGAUUCCUUCCACACCAACAGGGUGAAUGCAAGGUGAUUAAAACAAGAAGCCUCUUCAGGAUCUAUAUCCUAGGGAAAAAAUUAAACAACAACAACAAAACAAGAAGCUUCAACUCUGACCCUGUAUUCCAGAUGUGUUACAGGGGCCUGUCUCCCCAGAGCCACUCUCCAGGUCAGAGCUUACCUCCCCUUGCUCAGGGUUAGGAGCUCUGGGCAGGAAAAGGACAUCAUGUUAAAA